UAAAUGAGAGUCUACAUGUUUGAAACCUCUCUCGUACCAAGUCUAUAUAUUGUAGAAUGCUUGGUGUUUGUGCAGGUUAGGGUUAUGGUAGAUCACAUGCUUUGCGAGCCUUAUAAAUCACUAGCUAUUUUGUAACCAAAAAAGCAUACGGUGAUCGAUGACCGGAUCUCUCUAGUUCAAUCCUAAUGAGAAGCCUUACAUUUUAUCCAAGUGUGAGAUACUUACAUGCACAUUACAUUAAAUAUCGAAACCGAUUUAGCUGGAUUUAGGUGACCACUGCAGGCGAGCUUAAUUUGAUAUCAACAGUGAUAUCAUGGUAAACCUAUGCUCGCAUUUAUAUUACAAUAUUGUCUAAUAUUACAAGUAACAACCUCUAUAUGCUCCAAAAUAGAAUUAGAUACGACAGCUUUGUUAAAGAUUGGUGAAGCCUCCCAAGCCAUCAAAAUCUAUUUGAAUUGUCAAGUCACAAUCUUGUCACAC
rnacentral:lncRNA from 1 species